UACGUAGGGUGCGAGCGUUGUCCGGAAUUAUUGGGCGUAAAGAGCUCGUAGGCGGCUUGUCGCGUCGGAUGUGAAAGCCCGGGGCUUAACCCCGGGUCUGCAUUCGAUACGGGCAGGCUAGAGUUCGGUAGGGGAGAUCGGAAUUCCUGGUGUAGCGGUGAAGUGCGCAGAUAUCAGGAGGAACACCGGUGGCGAAGGCGGGUCUCUGGGCCGAUAUUGACGCGGAGGAGCGAAAGCGUGGGGAGCGAACAGG
rnacentral:misc_RNA from 1 species